UAAUACGGAGGAUGCGAGCGUUAUCCGGAUUUAUUGGGUUUAAAGGGUGCGUAGGCGGUUGUAUAAGUCAGCGGUGAAAUUUUCCGGCUUAACCGGGAGACUGCCGUUGAUACUGUAUAGCUUGAAUACGGUUGCUGUGAGUGGAAUGUGUGGUGUAGCGGUGAAAUGCAUAGAUAUCACACAGAAUAUCGAUUGCGAAGGCAGCUCACAAAGCCGUUAUUGACGCUGAUGCACGAAAGUGUGGGGAUCAAACAGGAUUAGAUACCCUGGUAGUCCACACUGUAAACGAUGAUAACUAGCUGUCGGCGAUACAUAGUCGGUGGCCAAGCGAAAGCGAUAAGUUAUCCACCUGGGGAGUACGACCGCAAGGUUGAAACUCAAAGGAAUUGACGGGGGCCCGCACAAGCGGAGGAACAUGUGGUUUAAUUCGAUGAUACGCGAGGAACCUUACCCGGGCUCGAACGGUGCAGUAAUAUGGUAGAGAUAUCAUAGCUAGCAAUAGACUGUAUCGAGGUGCUGCAUGGUUGUCGUCAGCUCGUGCCGUGAGGUGUCGGCUUAAGUGCCAUAACGAGCGCAACCCUUGUCGUUAGUUACCAUCAAGUAAAGUUGGGGACUCUAGCGAGACUGCCACCGUAAGGUGUGAGGAAGGGGGGGAUGACGUCAAAUCAGCACGGCCCUUACGUCCGGGGCGACACACGUGUUACAAUGGUAGGUACAGAGGGCCGCUAUCCAGUGAUGGAGUGCCAAUCUCAAAAACCUAUCUCAGUUCGGAUCGGAGUCUGCAACUCGACUCCGUGAAGUUGGAUUCGCUAGUAAUCGCGCAUCAGCCAUGGCGCGGUGAAUACGUUCCCNGGCCUUGUACACACCGCCCGUCAAGCCAUGGAAGCCGGGGGUGCCUGA
rnacentral:rRNA from 1 species